UCGGUGUACCCGGAGGGGGAGGAUGAGCCAUCGGUGUCCCCGGAGCUGGUGGGUCUUUUCCUCGGACAGCUGCUGGGCCUUUUCCUCCAGAGAGAAGAGAAUGCCUACGUGGCUGUUCAGAGGCUCCCUCCCUGCUGAAUGCUGAAUAGGAAUCCCCAAAUGCAGACCAGUCAGACUCCACAUGGAUGACUUUUCACAGGGGAGUGACAGGAACCCAUCCAUGUUUUAGAAAAAUCACUGUACUGCAGUGUGGAGUGGGAGCAGACCACUGGAAACAUGGAAGGCUGUUGGCAGCCUACGGCAGGAGUCCAGAGUGACAAAACGUGCCACCAGGGGGCAGAUGAGGACGAUGAAGGGUACACCCCACUCCUUCCCAGGUACCCUUAGCCAGGGGUCCUCAAAUUUGGUAAUUUAUGGACCCAAGAGAAGGGAAGGGAGAACUGAAGUAUUGUGAUGGGAGUAGGAAAAUUGCGGAACUAGGAGCAGACGGGAGCCUGUUUUGCUCACCUUGGUAUCCCCAGCUCGCAUUGAGUGGUCACUAAGGAGCUACAAAAUGAAAUGGAAAAGUGUAACUUACUUUGCACAAUUCUGUGGUAGCUGAGAUCUUCUGCAAAGCAAAACACGCAUGAGUUGCAGUCAACACACUAUUGCGCAAAAUGAGGACUACCUGCAUUAUAUAUAUGUGUGUGUUUAAUUUUAAUUAUAUAAAUAUUU
rnacentral:lncRNA from 1 species